rnacentral:rRNA from 1 species
UGGGGAAUUUUGGACAAUGGGGGCAACCCUGAUCCAGCCAUUCCGCGUGAGUGAAGAAGGCCCUCGGGUUGUAAAGCUCUUUCAGCAGGAACGAAACGGUCGGCUUUAAUAAAGUCGGCUAAUGACGGUACCUGCAGAAGAAGCACCGGCUAACUACGUGCCAGCAGCCGCGGUAAUACGUAGGGUGCGAGCGUUAAUCGGAAUUACUGGGCGUAAAGCGUGCGCAGGCGGCGACAUAAGACAGAUGUGAAAUCCCCGGGCUCAACCUGGGAACUGCGUUUGUGACUGUGUUGCUAGAGUGUAGCAGAGGGGGGUGAAUUCCACGUGUAGCAGUGAAAUGCGUAGAGAUGUGGAGGAACACCGAUGGCGAAGGCAGCCUCCUGGGUUAACACUGACGCUCAUGCACGAAAGCGUGGGGAGCAAACAGGAUUAGAUACCCAAGUAGUCCCUGAGCGGGCUGGCAAGGCGCAU